rnacentral:rRNA from 1 species
GGGUUGUGAGGUUAAGCGACUAAGCGUACACGGUGGAUGCCCUGGCAGUCAGAGGCGAUGAAGGACGUGCUAAUCUGCGAUAAGCGUCGGUAAGGUGAUAUGAACCGUUAUAACCGGCGAUUUCCGAAUGGGGAAACCCAGUGUGUUUCGACACACUAUCAUUAACUGAAUCCAUAGGUUAAUGAGGCGAACCGGGGGAACUGAAACAUCUAAGUACCCCGAGGAAAAGAAAUCAACCGAGAUUCCCCCAGUAGCGGCGAGCGAACGGGGAGCAGCCCAGAGCCUGAAUCAGUGUGUGUGUUAGUGGAAGCGUCUGGAAAGGCGCGCGAUACAGGGUGACAGCCCCGUACACAAAAAUGCACAUGCUGUGAGCUCGAUGAGUAGGGCGGGACACGUGGUAUCCUGUCUGAAUAUGGGGGGACCAUCCUCCAAGGCUAAAUACUCCUGACUGACCGAUAGUGAACCAGUACCGUGAGGGAAAGGCGAAAAGAACCCCGGCGAGGGGAGUGAAAAAGAACCUGAAACCGUGUACGUACAAGCAGUGGGAGCACGCUUAGGCGUGUGACUGCGUACCUUUUGUAUAAUGGGUCAGCGACUUAUAUUCUGUAGCAAGGUUAACCGAAUAGGGGAGCCGAAGGGAAACCGAGUCUUAACUGGGCGUUAAGUUGCAGGGUAUAGACCCGAAACCCGGUGAUCUAGCCAUGGGCAGGUUGAAGGUUGGGUAACACUAACUGGAGGACCGAACCGACUAAUGUUGAAAAAUUAGCGGAUGACUUGUGGCUGGGGGUGAAAGGCCAAUCAAACCGGGAGAUAGCUGGUUCUCCCCGAAAGCUAUUUAGGUAGCGCCUCGUGAAUUCAUCUCCGGGGGUAGAGCACUGUUUCGGCAAGGGGGUCAUCCCGACUUACCAACCCGAUGCAAACUGCGAAUACCGGAGAAUGUUAUCACGGGAGACACACGGCGGGUGCUAACGUCCGUCGUGAAGAGGGAAACAACCCAGACCGCCAGCUAAGGUCCCAAAGUCAUGGUUAAGUGGGAAACGAUGUGGGAAGGCCCAGACAGCCAGGAUGUUGGCUUAGAAGCAGCCAUCAUUUAAAGAAAGCGUAAUAGCUCACUGGUCGAGUCGGCCUGCGCGGAAGAUGUAACGGGGCUAAACCAUGCACCGAAGCUGCGGCAGCGACACUAUGUGUUGUUGGGUAGGGGAGCGUUCUGUAAGCCUGUGAAGGUGUGCUGUGAGGCAUGCUGGAGGUAUCAGAAGUGCGAAUGCUGACAUAAGUAACGAUAAAGCGGGUGAAAAGCCCGCUCGCCGGAAGACCAAGGGUUCCUGUCCAACGUUAAUCGGGGCAGGGUGAGUCGACCCCUAAGGCGAGGCCGAAAGGCGUAGUCGAUGGGAAACAGGUUAAUAUUCCUGUACUUGGUGUUACUGCGAAGGGGGGACGGAGAAGGCUAUGUUGGCCGGGCGACGGUUGUCCCGGUUUAAGCGUGUAGGCUGGUUUUCCAGGCAAAUCCGGAAAAUCAAGGCUGAGGCGUGAUGACGAGGCACUACGGUGCUGAAGCAACAAAUGCCCUGCUUCCAGGAAAAGCCUCUAAGCAUCAGGUAACAUCAAAUCGUACCCCAAACCGACACAGGUGGUCAGGUAGAGAAUACCAAGGCGCUUGAGAGAACUCGGGUGAAGGAACUAGGCAAAAUGGUGCCGUAACUUCGGGAGAAGGCACGCUGAUAUGUAGGUGAAGUCCCUCGCGGAUGGAGCUGAAAUCAGUCGAAGAUACCAGCUGGCUGCAACUGUUUAUUAAAAACACAGCACUGUGCAAACACGAAAGUGGACGUAUACGGUGUGACGCCUGCCCGGUGCCGGAAGGUUAAUUGAUGGGGUCAGCGCAAGCGAAGCUCUUGAUCGAAGCCCCGGUAAACGGCGGCCGUAACUAUAACGGUCCUAAGGUAGCGAAAUUCCUUGUCGGGUAAGUUCCGACCUGCACGAAUGGCGUAAUGAUGGCCAGGCUGUCUCCACCCGAGACUCAGUGAAAUUGAACUCGCUGUGAAGAUGCAGUGUACCCGCGGCAAGACGGAAAGACCCCGUGAACCUUUACUAUAGCUUGACACUGAACAUUGAGCCUUGAUGUGUAGGAUAGGUGGGAGGCUUUGAAGUGUGGACGCCAGUCUGCAUGGAGCCGACCUUGAAAUACCACCCUUUAAUGUUUGAUGUUCUAACGUUGACCCGUAAUCCGGGUUGCGGACAGUGUCUGGUGGGUAGUUUGACUGGGGCGGUCUCCUCCUAAAGAGUAACGGAGGAGCACGAAGGUUGGCUAAUCCUGGUCGGACAUCAGGAGGUUAGUGCAAUGGCAUAAGCCAGCUUGACUGCGAGCGUGACGGCGCGAGCAGGUGCGAAAGCAGGUCAUAGUGAUCCGGUGGUUCUGAAUGGAAGGGCCAUCGCUCAACGGAUAAAAGGUACUCCGGGGAUAACAGGCUGAUACCGCCCAAGAGUUCAUAUCGACGGCGGUGUUUGGCACCUCGAUGUCGGCUCAUCACAUCCUGGGGCUGAAGUAGGUCCCAAGGGUAUGGCUGUUCGCCAUUUAAAGUGGUACGCGAGCUGGGUUUAGAACGUCGUGAGACAGUUCGGUCCCUAUCUGCCGUGGGCGCUGGAGAACUGAGGGGGGCUGCUCCUAGUACGAGAGGACCGGAGUGGACGCAUCACUGGUGUUCGGGUUGUCAUGCCAAUGGCACUGCCCGGUAGCUAAAUGCGGAAGAGAUAAGUGCUGAAAGCAUCUAAGCACGAAACUUGCCCCGAGAUGAGUUCUCCCUGACCCUUUAAGGGUCCUGAAGGAACGUUGAAGACGACGACGUUGAUAGGCCGGGUGUGUAAGCGCAGCGAUGCGUUGAGCUAACCGGUACUAAUGAACCGUGAGGCUUAACCUUACAACGCCGAAGGUGUUU